CCUACGGGGGGCAGCAGUGGGGAAUAUUGGACAAUGGGGGGAACCCUGAUCCAGCCAUGCCGCGUGUGUGAAGAAGGCCCUCGGGUUGUAAAGCACUUUCAGUGAGGAAGAACGCCUGGUGGUUAAUACCCAUCAGGAAAGACAUCACUCACAGAAGAAGCACCGGCUAACUCCGUGCCAGCAGCCGCGGUAAUACGGAGGGUGCGAGCGUUAAUCGGAAUUACUGGGCGUAAAGCGCGCGUAGGUGGCUUGAUAAGCCGGUUGUGAAAGCCCCGGGCUCAACCUGGGAACGGCAUCCGGAACUGUCAAGCUAGAGUGCAGGAGAGGAAGGUAGAAUUCCCGGUGUAGCGGUGAAAUGCGUAGAGAUCGGGAGGAAUACCAGUGGCGAAGGCGGCCUUAUGGACUGACACUGACACUGAGGUGCGAAAGCGUGGGUAGCAAACAGGAUUAGAUACCCCAGUAGUC
rnacentral:rRNA from 1 species